rnacentral:rRNA from 1 species
GUGCCAGCAGCCGCGGUAAUACGUAGGGUGCAAGCGUUAAUCGGAAUUACUGGGCGUAAAGCGUGCGCAGGCGGUUUUGUAAGACAGUGGUGAAAUCCCCGGGCUCAACCUGGGAACUGCCAUUGUGACUGCAAGGCUAGAGUGCGGCAGAGGGGGAUGGAAUUCCGCGUGUAGCAGUGAAAUGCGUAGAUAUGCGGAGGAACACCGAUGGCGAAGGCAAUCCCCUGGGCCUGCACUGACGCUCAUGCACGAAAGCGUGGGGAGCAA